GCGCAGCAGUCGCGAAAACUUUACAAUGUGCGAAAGCACGAUAAGGGAACUCUGAGUGCCUUCUAAGGAGGCUGUUCAGGUGUCUAAAAAGCACCUGGAGUAAGGGCUGGGUAAGACCGGUGCCAGCCGCCGCGGUAACACCGGCAGCCCAGGUGGUAGCCACUUUUAUUGGGUCUAAAGCGUCCGUAGCCGGUUGAGUAAGUUCCUUGGGAAAUUUGGCUGCUCAACAGUCAAGCUUCCAGGGAAUACUGCUCGACUUGGGACUGGGAGAGGUCAGAGGUACUCCAGGGGUAGGGGUGAAAUCCAUUAAUCCCUGGGGGACCACCGGUAGCGAAGGCGUCUGACCAGACCAGGUCCGACGGUGAGGGACGAAGGCUAGGGGCGCGAACCGGAUUAGAUACCCGGGUAGU
rnacentral:rRNA from 1 species